AGUUUUUAGCCAGAUGGAAGAAGUUUUUAGCAACAGAAACAAGAAAUCUUUUACUAGUGGAACAUGAGAUAUGUAGGAGAAUUUAUUGACAAAGACUGAAAAUCUAGUUCGAUAGAAAGCUCCGAAUUAGUUGAUUCGACGCUGAAGAAAGCGAUGCUGAUUGAGAAAUUAAUUGAUGAAAAACUUGAAGGAACUCCAAUUGAUUCAAGUUCAGAGAGAAUUUUCUUUCAAAAAUCUUCAACUCCUGGUGCAACAAAUGAAGGAGUGAAUAGGUGAAAUUCAGAAUGUUUGAUCAAAGGCUUGAAAGUUGGGGAGAAGCAUUUUCUCUUCUGCGAUUGAAGUGUGUAUUUCUUGCUAAAUGCCUAAAAGUGUAGCAUGGAACUUGAGCUGCGGUGUAGAUGAUUUUCUCUUACAAAUUAAAAAAGGUAAGGAACAUAUCCUCUAGACUAAAUUGAUUCAACAUUAUUUACAUAAUGCUACAGGAGACAUAGUUGGUGAAUUAUGGGAGGUACUACUUUUAACCUUGUUCCUUUUCGAUUUAAGAGGUACACAAAAUGUUUGUGGAUACGUUUUGAUUUUCAUUGCAUUACUGGGAUUAACUAGAUCUAUUGUCCUUGGUAUUUAUGGGAAUGAAAACCACUUACUAUUACAACUUAAGAGUGGUAUGUUUGUGAAGAAGAGAGCAGUGAGAGAACACAUUUUGUGUUAUUAUUGUUGUACAGUCUUCAAUAUCAGGAUUGAAUUGGUACAUCCACAUGCAUUCAAUAUUUCUGUUCAUCACAUGUUGCAGCCGUGGCCUGAUGUUUAUGGUUGUUUUUAUCCACAUGCUCCAAGUCUUGAAUUCAGAUGGUUCCUUGUGGAGUUCCGUGUUUUUCUUCUUGUGGCGAGUCUCAUAAUUCGUAUAAGAUAUUUUAGACCUUUAGGUACAAAUUUAUUUCUGCACAGUCCCUUGCUUGCUCCUGGUUCUACCAAGUUGGAGUUCCUGGCAAAGAUAAUUGGAAUACAGGUCUUGCUCGCGGCAUAUCAUAUUCUGACUGUAUUGUUUUGGGUAGGGUACUUGAGGUGGAAAUUCAGAUUGGUCAUCUCAAUUGAUUUACGGUGUAUGGAAAAUAUUUGUUGGAUUGAGUUGAGUUUUAUCCCAGUUGUGUUGCUUGAUACAACAUGGUACUAUGGAACAAAUCUGUUCGGCGAAACUGAAACCGAUAAAGAAGGUUGUAACUUUAGCACUGCAGUUGGAGUUUCUCGUAUAUGGGUUUCGAAUAUUUCAGCAUUUUGGGGUUUGUGUUUCCCUCCAAGAAAGGAAAGUAGGGUACUCAAGCUUAACCAACUUCUUAAUCGGCAACUACACCGCUUUGCUGCAACGAGGGACAGGAAAGUAGUGCUGCAAGUUUCAUAUUCCAUCUGGAGUCGUUGGCAUUUGUUUUGCCGUGCACAAAAACAUCUUACUUGCAACCAACUCUAUAAACUGCUGAAGAUCAUAGCAACAUACCAGCACAAAUUAGUGAAGUUCUAUAUUGGAUGUAACAUUUUUUUUUGACUUCGUUUAUAUCACCAGGAUCAUUAUGUCUUUGCUGGAAUAUUACAGAUGGGUCAAGCUGGAGAUAAGAGACUUGAGCUACAUUUCAGUAAUGAAGAAAGUAUGCUCAUGGGGGUUUACACGGCCAAUUACUCUACCAUCUCUGACGCUGAUUGUGACUAUAAUGGAACCGUGAUCAAGCUGGAACCCUACAGUUCACUUGAAAAAGAUAAAUGGGUUGUGAUUUUUGUUAGAAAAACGAUUAAUAAAAUUGAUUUUUAAAGAUUUUAAUUAAUUGUUUCUUUUGUGAAUGAAAAACUUGUUAGUCCCACAUCGUGGAGUUUCCACUCUUUAGUUGUUUUAAGAGACUAUAUAAGAUUUUUAGUCCCGCAUCGGGGAGUUGCUCUGCUUAA